CUUUGGGGGGGGAGUCAUGACAAAGUGGUAUCAUGGUGAUUUAAGUGUAGCUUGUGAAUGUGACCCAAGUCUGCUCUCAGCUUGCUGCUGAGACUGAAAAGCAAUUGAAUUUGGAGUCGUUGCCCUUGAUGUCCUGAAUGCGAAAAAGAGCAAAAGGGAUCCAGCCAUUCUGUUUGGUUGAACUGUAUGCAAGCUUAUUGCUCAUACAAUAUGAGUCAUUUUGAGGGGGGUUUUUGUCCCCUUUUCCUCUGAGUUUCUUCAAGAGACAACCCAGGGCUGCGCUCUUCUAUAUUUCCUAGCUCCAUCAGGGGAUUCUAUGACAUUUUCAAUUACUGUAGAGAUGCUUUUUCAGCCACGAAGGAAGAGUGCAGGUCUCGUCUUUUGCAAGAUAGCAUCUUCUCCUCUCCCCCUGCCACCAGCCCCAAAGACACCAGCACCUUUCUUCCACUUGCUUUCUUUGGCACGGCCCACUGAUCACAUCAUUUGGUUACCAUGACAGUUCUUAGCGCUCCAGCUCUGGCAGCAGAGUUCACUGGGGGCAGAAACUCUGGGAUGCUGUCUUCUUGUUUGGUGAAAACCCACCAUCGCAAUGAUGCUCUUGAGGCCUCUGAAGGCUAUGAGUCAAGCGGAAGUUUCAGUACAUAUGCAGCGCAUCAGAGAGAGGUAGAUCAAGGUCGAUUUUUUUUCCUACCUUGGAAACAACAACACAGAUAGGUUUGUCAACAUUCAUUUCCCAUCGUAGCUAAAGUAAGGUUACCAGAUUUUUUCCAAAUAAUCCAGGGACACUUUUUUUUUAAGAGGAAAAAACGUUAUUCAAAAAAUUACUAUUUUUUUAAAAAAGUAAUAUCUUCUCUUCUGUGGUCUCCUCUGUCACACGGCCUUCCUCUGGGCCCCAUCCUGCUCUCUUGGAGCGCUAGCCACCAUGGAGUAGGCUCAGGUCGGGGCUGGGCUCGGCCAUGUGUCCUAGCCCUCCCGGUGCUCUCCUACCUCUCCUCAAUGGUGGCAGUGCAGCAAUGUUGUGGACGGAUUUUGUCUGGAGACAGAUUUGUAAAUCCGGGGACUGUUCCCAGGAAACGGGGACAUCUGGUAACCAUAAGCUAAAGCUAAACCAAAGGUGGAAAAUUUCAGGCCUGUAGGGCAUUGGAGGAGGGAAAUAGAUAACACUUUCUGAGAAAUAUGAAAAAUGCAUCCUAACCAGUCUUUUGGUGACCACAACAAGCAAGGAUGAGUUUUAUUCCUUCCCCUGCUAUUGCCCAGUCCUGAGAAUUGCCAGAAUUAUGUCUGGGAAAAAAGCCUUUGAAUGGCUACAGUAGAAGACUUCUUUCAAACCACAUUUCAGUAAUGGGGGGAGCAGAAAAAGCAGGACCCCACAGGCAGCAGGUAGGGCCUCUGUAGGGUGCAUGUAUCAUGGGCAUUGUGUCUGGAGGCGGUUGGAGGAUGGAUGGCAGCUAACAGAUUGAGGUUGAAUCCUGACAAGACAGAAGUACUGUUUUGGGGGACAGGAUGCAGGCAGGUGUGGAGGACUCCCUGGUCCUAAAUGGGGUAACUGUGCCCCUGAAGGACCAGAUGUGCAGCCUGGGAGUCAUUUUGGACUUGCAGCUGUCCAUGGAGGCGCAGGUCAAUUCUGUGUCCAGGGCAGCAGUCUACCAGCUCCAUCUGGUAUGCAGGCUGAGACCCUACCUGCCUGCAGACUGUCUCACCAGAGUGGUGCAUGCUCUGGUUAUCUCUUGCUUGCACUACUGCAAUGCGCUCUUUGGGGGGCUACAUUUGAAGGUGACCUGGGAACUGCAAUUAAUCCAGAAUGUGGCAGCUAGACUGGUGACUGGGAGUGGCCACUGAGACCACAUAACACUGGUCCUGAAAGACCUACAUUGGCUCCCAGUAUGUUUUCGAGCACAAUUCAAAGUGUUGGUGCUGACCUUUAAAGCCCUAAAUGGCCUCAGUCCAGUAUACCUGAAGGAGCGUCUCCACCCUCAUCGUUCUACCCAGACACUGAGGUCCAGCGCCAAGGGCCUUCUGGUGGUUCCCUCACUGUGGGAAGCCAAGUUACAAGGAAAUAGGCAGAGGGCCUUCUCGGUAGUGUCACCCCCCCCCCCAGUGGAACGCCCUCCUACCAGAUGUCAAAGAGAACAACAAGACUUUUAGAAGACAUCUGAAGGCAGCCCUGUUUAGGGAAGCUUUUAAUGUUUGAUGGACUACUGGAUUUUAAUAUUUUAAUGGGAGUGUCUGGGGAAACCCAGCCAGAUGGGAGGGGUAUAAAUAAUACAUUCUUCUUCUUCUUCUUCUUCUUCUUCUUCUUCUUCUUCUUCUUCUUCUUCUUCUUCUAUAGAAAGAUGCUGAAAUCCUUGCUUAUACCAGUUCUUGGUCUCUUCUCCCUUCCAUUUCUACGAUUCCCUAGGCACAAAGGUACUUCACCUCAAAUCAUAUCAAUUAGUGGUGGAAAAGAAAUGGCAGCUAGGUAGCAGCGUAUAUCCUCAGCCCCUUGCAGUGAUCCCUGGAGUAUACUCAGUACUACGGUGUAAAUAUUUCAAGCAACAGGGCUCCUGGUUCCUUGGGAGAUCUUAACAGCAGCCUCACAGCUGGGAUGUGAUUACUGCCAUCAUUUCUCUUAGCUGCAUCCCAUUAACUGCAGCAGCUCAUCGUCUUGCUCUCUGCAAGGAAUGUCUGUGGAGUGCUGGCAUUGUAUUGCAGUGGCGCCUAGUCAGCUUCCUCAGAGGAGAAUCUGUCAUACUCCCAGGUGUCCUUCUGAGAAGAGAUGGACAAGGAGAAGCAGAGCUGAGAAUGCCUCUGAGUUCAGGGAGACUUCAUAAAAAUGCAAUGGACCAUAUGCAGCCUAUAUCUCACAAAUAAAUCAUCUCACAAAUAAAACUGGGC